rnacentral:rRNA from 1 species
AACGAACGCUGGCAGCAGGCCUAACACAUGCAAGUCGAGCGAAGCCUUCGGGCUUAGCGGCGGACGGGUGAGUAACGCGUGGGAACGUGCCCUUUGGUACGGAAUAGCCCCGGGAAACUGGGAGUAAUACCGUAUGUGGUCGAGAGACGAAAGAUUUAUCGCCAAAGGAUCGGCCCGCGUUGGAUUAGGUAGUUGGUGGGGUAAUGGCCUACCAAGCCGACGAUCCAUAGCUGGUUUGAGAGGAUGAUCAGCCACACUGGGACUGAGACACGGCCCAGACUCCUACGGGAGGCAGCAGUGGGGAAUCUUAGACAAUGGGGGAAACCCUGAUCUAGCCAUGCCGCGUGAUCGAUGAAGGCCUUAGGGUUGUAAAGAUCUUUCAGUGGGGAAGAUAAUGACUGUACCCACAGAAGAAGCCCCGGCUAACUCCGUGCCAGCCGCCGCGGUAAAAC